UUUUAUUUUUUAAAUUUUUUAAAAAUGGAAUAUUAAAAAUAGCUAACCAUUUUCAACCACAAGAAACAUUUAAAUCAAUGGUAGUUGUUAACAGUUAUUUCAGCUUUUACUUGAUACAAAAAAUUUCCCAAGCAAUGUCCAAGGCCAUAAUAAUUUUGAAAAAAAUCCCCCAAGGCCAACUAACGAUAUGAAAAUUUUGGUAGUUGAGAAGUGGAAUAAAAUAUUUAAAAUAUCUUACUGAAUUUAAAAAUACAAUCAAAUUCAGAUUUCCAUGGGCCUUGAUUUUUUGAUCAGGCUAGCCCAGGUCUGACCAUUACAAAUUAUAUUAUUAAGAAAACGUUUUACAAAUUUAAUAAGUAUUUUAAAUGUAAAAAAUUUCUUC